UCUACUCUGACUUAGGGCACAUCGCUUUC
rnacentral:piRNA from 1 species